rnacentral:rRNA from 1 species
UACGUAGGGUGCAAGCGUUGUCCGGAAUUAUUGGGCGUAAAGAGCUCGUAGGCGGUUUGUCGCGUCUGCUGUGAAAUCUCGGGGCUUAACUCCGGGCCUGCAGUGGGUACGGGCAGACUAGAGUGCGGUAGGGGAGACUGGAAUUCCUGGUGUAGCGGUGAAAUGCGCAGAUAUCAGGAGGAACACCGGUGGCGAAGGCAGGUCUCUGGGCCGUAACUGACGCUGAGGAGCGAAAGCGUGGGGAGCAAACAGG